AGUCGAGUUGUUUGGGAAUGCUGCUCAAAACGGGAGGUAAACCCCUUCUAAAGCUAAAUACCGGCCAGAGACCGAUAGCGCACAAGUAGAGUGAUCGAAAGAUGAAAAGCACUUUGAAAAGAGAGUUAAACAGCACGUGAAAUUGUUGAAAGGGAAGCGCUUGCGACCAGACUUGCGCCCGCCGGAUCAACCGUCGCUUGUCGGCGGCGCACUCCGGCGGGCUCAGGCCAGCAUCGGUUCGCCUGGGGGGAGAAAGGUGGCGGGAAUGUGGCUCCUCGGAGUGUUAUAGCCCGCCGCGCAAUACCCUCGGGCGGACCGAGGACCGCGCGUAUGCAAGGAUGCUGGCGUAAUGGUCGUCAGCNACCCGUCUUGAAACACGG
rnacentral:rRNA from 1 species